rnacentral:rRNA from 1 species
AGUGAACGCUGGCGGCGUGCUUAACACAUGCAAGUCGAACGAGAACGGAUUAUAGCUUGCUAUAAUUGUCAGCUAAGUGGCGCACGGGUGAGUAAUGUAUAGGUAAUAUGCCUCUUACUAAGGGAUAACAAAUAGAAACGUUUGCUAAUACCUUAUACUCCUUAUUAACAGAAGUUAAUAAGGGAAAGAUUUAUUGGUAAGAGAUUAGCCUGUAUUGUAUCAGUUAGUUGGUGGGGUAAUGGCCUACCAAGACUAUGACACAUAACUGGUUUGAGAGGAUGAUCAGUCACACUGGAACUGAGACACGGUCCAGACUCCUACGGGAGGCAGCAGUGGGGAAUAUUGCACAAUGGACGAAAGUCUGAUGCAGCAACGCCGCGUGGAGGAUGAUACAUUUCGGUGCGUAAACUCCUUUUAUAUGAGAAGAUAAUGACGGUAUUAUAUGAAUAAGCACCGGCUAACUCCGUGCCAGCAGCCGCGGUAA